rnacentral:rRNA from 1 species
UGUUGGGGCAGCUACACAUGCAGUCGGGCGGUAGCACAGAAGAGCUUGCUCUUUGGGUGACGAGCGGCGGACGGGUGAGUAAUGUCUGGGAAACUGCCUGAUGGAGGGGGAUAACUACUGGAAACGGUAGCUAAUACCGCAUAACCUCGCAAGAGCAAAGAGGGGGACCUUCGGGCCUCUCGCCAUCAGAUGUGCCCAGAUGGGAUUAGCUAGUAGGUGAGGUAAUGGCUCACCUAGGCGACGAUCCCUAGCUGGUCUGAGAGGAUGACCAGCCACACUGGAACUGAGACACGGUCCAGACUCCUACGGGAGGCAGCAGUGGGGAAUAUUGCACAAUGGGCGCAAGCCUGAUGCAGCCAUGCCGCGUGUGUGAAGAAGGCCUUCGGGUUGUAAAGCACUUUCAGCGGGGAGGAAGGCGGUGAGGUUAAUAACCUUAUCGAUUGACGUUACCCGCAGAAGAAGCACCGGCUAACUCCGUGCCAGCAGCCGCGGUAAUACGGAGGGUGCAAGCGUUAAUCGGAAUGACUGGGCGUAAAGCGCACGCAGGCGGUCUGUUAAGUUGGAUGUGAAAUCCCCGGGCUUAACCUGGGAACUGCAUUCAAAACUGACAGGCUAGAGUCUUGUAGAGGGGGGUAGAAUUUCCAGGUGUAGCGGUGAAAUGCGUAGAGAUCUGGAGGAAUACCGGUGGCGAAGGCGGCCCCCUGGACAAAGACUGACGCUCAGGUGCGAAAGCGUGGGGAGCAAACAGGAUUAGAUACCCUGGUAGUCCACGCUGUAAACGAUGUCGAUUUGGAGGUUGUGCCCUUGAGGCGUGGCUUCCGGAGCUAACGCGUUAAAUCGACCGCCUGGGGAGUACGGCCGCAAGGUUAAAACUCAAAUGAAUUGACGGGGGCCCGCACAAGCGGUGGAGCAUGUGGUUUAAUUCGAUGCAACGCGAAGAACCUUACCUACUCUUGACAUCCACAGAAUUCGGCAGAAAUGCCUUAGUGCCUUCGGGAACUGUGAGACAGGUGCUGCAUGGCUGUCGUCAGCUCGUGUUGUGAAAUGUUGGGUUAAGUCCCGCAACGAGCGCAACCCUUAUCCUUUGUUGCCAGCGAUUCGGUCGGGAACUCAAAGGAGACUGCCGGUGAUAAACCGGAGGAAGGUGGGGAUGACGUCAAGUCAUCAUGGCCCUUACGAGUAGGGCUACACACGUGCUACAAUGGCGUAUACAAAGAGAAGCGACCUCGCGAGAGCAAGCGGACCUCAUAAAGUACGUCGUAGUCCGGAUUGGAGUCUGCAACUCGACUCCAUGAAGUCGGAAUCGCUAGUAAUCGUAGAUCAGAAUGCUACGGUGAAUACGUUCCCGGGCCUUGUACACACCGCCCGUCACACCAUGGGAGUGGGUUGCAAAAGAAGUAGGUAGCUUAACCUUCGGGAGGGCGCUUACCACUUUGUGAUUCAUGACUGGGGUGAAGUCGACCAGCCCCC